rnacentral:rRNA from 1 species
CCUACGGGAGGCUGCAGUGGGGAAUAUUGGACAAUGGGCGAAAGCCUGAUCCAGCCAUGCCGCGUGUGUGAAGAAGGCCUUCGGGUUGUAAAGCACUUUCAGUGGGGAAGAAAGCCUUGGGGCUAAUACCCUCGAGGAAGGACAUCACCCACAGAAGAAGCACCGGCUAACUCCGUGCCAGCAGCCGCGGUAAUACGGAGGGUGCGAGCGUUAAUCGGAAUUACUGGGCGUAAAGCGCGUGUAGGCGGUCUGAUAAGCCGGUUGUGAAAGCCCCGGGCUCAACCUGGGAACGGCAUCCGGAACUGUCAGGCUAGAGUGCAGGAGAGGAAGGUAGAAUUCCCGGUGUAGCGGUGAAAUGCGUAGAGAUCGGGAGGAAUACCAGUGGCGAAGGCGGCCUUCUGGACUGACACUGACGCUGAGGUGCGAAAGCGUGGGUAGCAAACAGGAUUAGAUACCCGGGUAGUC